AUUCGAUGCAUCGCGUAGAGCCUUACCUACUCUUGACAUCCAGAGAACUUUCCAGAGAUGGAUUGGUGCCUUCGGGAACUCUGAGACAGGUGCUGCAUGGCUGUCGUCAGCUCGUGUUGUGAAAUGUUGGGUUAAGUCCCGCAACGAGCGCAACCCUUAUCCUUGUUUGCCAGCACUUCGGGUGGGAACUCCAGGGAGACUGCCGGUGAUAAACCGGAGGAAGGUGGGGACGACGUCAAGUCAUCAUGGCCCUUACGAGUAGGGCUACACACGUGCUACAAUGGCGCAUACAGAGGGCGGCCAACUUGCGAGAGUGAGCGAAUCCCAAAAAGUGCGUCGUAGUCCGGAUCGGAGUCUGCAACUCGACUCCGUGAAGUCGGAAUCGCUAGUAAUCGUGGAUCAGAAUG
rnacentral:rRNA from 1 species